GCCUCUAUAGCUCAGUUGGUAGAGCACUUGACUCUUAAUCAAGGUGUCGCAGGUUCGAACCCUGCUGGGGGCA
rnacentral:tRNA from 1 species